UGGAACUCAGGGCCCGUUCACAG
rnacentral:piRNA from 1 species